CAAACCGUCAGGAGAACCAUCCCAGUGACGAGCGUGAGGAAGAAGGGCCGCGCCGACAGCAGCGAGCAGGUCAUCACACACACAGGAUGAGAUGUCUGUGUCGCAAUUUAUUUUGCUGUUUCAAAUGCCAGUCAACGGUUGAAGUGGCAGAGAGGCGCCCCUCGGCCAAACAUCCUGAGGGGGAAGGCCAGUCAACGGUUGAAGCAGCAGAGAGGCGCCCCUCGGCCAAACAUCUUGAGGGGGAAG